rnacentral:rRNA from 1 species
AUUGAACGCUGGCGGCAUGCUUUACACAUGCAAGUCGAACGGCAGCGCGGGGGCAACCCUGGCGGCGAGUGGCGAACGGGUGAGUAAUGCAUCGGAACGUAUCCUGUAAUGGGGGGAUAACGUAGCGAAAGUUACGCUAAUACCGCAUACGCUCGAGAGAGGAAAGUGGGGGAUCGCAAGACCUCACGUUAUAGGAGCGGCCGAUGUCCGAUUAGCUAGUUGGUGGGUAAAGGCCUACCAAGGCGACGAUCGGUAGCUGGUCUGAGAGGAUGAUCAGCCACACUGGACGUGAGACACGGCCCAGACUCUACGGGAGGCAGCA